GACGAACGCUGGCGGCGCGCUUAACACAUGCAAGUCGAGCGAAGCGGCGGACGGGUGAGUAACACGUGAGUAACCUGCCUUAGACCUUGGGAUAGCCUCGGCAAACCGGGAUUAAUACCAAAUGGUCUAAGAUGGACUCGCGUCCCAUUAGCUAGUUGGUGGGUAACGGCCCACCACGGCGACGAUGGGUAGCCGGCAUGAGAGGGGGAACGGCGUCGUUGGAACUGAGAAGCGGGCCAAAGUCUACGGGAGGCAGCAGUGGGGAAUAUUGCACAAUGGGGGGAACUCUGAUGCAGCGACGCCGCGUGAACGAAGAAGGCAGUCGAGUAGUAAAGUUCUUUUAUAUGGGAAGCGGUACCAUAAGAAAAAGCCCCGGCUAACUACGUGCCAGCCGCCGCGGUAAUAC
rnacentral:rRNA from 1 species